rnacentral:rRNA from 1 species
UAGUUGGAUUUUGGGCGCAGGCGGCCGGUCCGUCGCAAGGCGUGUACUGGCCGUCCUGGCCUCACCUCCGGUUCUCCGCCGGUGCCCUUGACUGAGUGUCGGCGGCGGCCGGAACGUUUACUUUGAAAAAAUUAGAGUGUUCAAAGCAGGCGAUUCGCCUGAAUAAUGGUGCAUGGAAUAAUGGAAUAGGACCUCGGUUCUAUUUUGUUGGUUUUCGGAGCGCGAGGUAAUGAUUAAGAGGGACAGACGGGGGCAUUCGUACUGUGCCGUUAGAGGUGAAAUUCUUGGAUCGGCGCAAGACGAACGACUGCGAAAGCAUUUGCCAAGAAUGUUUUCUUUAAUCAAGAGCGAAAGUCAGAGGUUCGAAGACGAUCAGAUACCGUCCUAGUUCUGACUAUAAACGAUGCCAACUAGCGAUCGGGGGGCGUUAGUUUUACGACCUCUCCGGCAGCUUGCGGGAAACCAAAGUCUUUGGGUUCCGGGGGAAGUAUGGUUGCAAAGCUGAAACUUAAAGGAAUUGACGGAAGGGCACCACCAGGAGUGGAGCCUGCGGCUUAAUUUGACUCAACACGGGAAAUCUCACCCGGCCCGGACACAGUGAGGAUUGACAGAUUGAGAGCUCUUUCUUGAUUCUGUGGGUGGUGGUGCAUGGCCGUUCUUAGUUGGUGGAGCGAUUUGUCUGGUUAAUUCCGAUAACGAACGAGACUCUGGCUUGCUAACUAGUUACGCGACCCAAUCGGUCGGCGUCUAACUUCUUAGAGGGACUAGUGGCGUUUAGCCACACGAGAUUGAGCAAUAACAGGUCUGUGAUGCCCUUAGAUGUUCGGGGCCGCACGCGCGCUACACUGACCGGAUCAGCAUGUGCUCGCCUUGGCCGACAGGUCUGGGUAACCCGCUGAACCCCGGUCGUGCUAGGGAUAGGGAAUUGCAAUUAUUUCCCU